AUUCGGUUUUGCCGCCCUUACAUUCCAGACUUUUGCUUUUAACAUCUCCAUUUGGGUUUUAAUUCACCACUUCAUGAUAAUUUUACUCUUUCACUCUUUCAUUCUGGCGGGAUGAUGAGUUUAAACUUAAAUGGCAUGUUCUUUGUUAUUGUGUUUUACAUUGCUUUCUCACCAUUGAUUAUUCAGGUAAUCCUGUGCAUGAGGGGACAGAAACCAGGAGCUCCAAAAUUAACCUGAAUUGGAGCUUGUCUGAACUGAAUAACUUUGUGUGUCAAAGCUACCCACACAUUAGCCUAAAUCUGGUUGGCUUUGAACUGGCAAGAUGUGGAAAAGGACGAAAGGUAAAAAAAAAUUACUAGUGAAUUCUGUGAGGGAGCUGAAGGAAAAGGUUGACAAAAGCAGACUCUACAUUCCACCCCCGAGCAGACACAGGUAUGAUUGUUUUGUACACAAAAAUAAUUUCAUGUAGUAUGGUAUAUCCAGAGUAAUAUCUUCCACUAUAAUUUGAAAUGUCUUGGCCAUGUCUAGGAAACCUAAGCAAUGUCCAGGAGUUUGUUUCCAGAACCCUCAACUGCACCAGAAGUACAGGAUAUCUCUCCAGAGGCUGAGAGUACCAACAGACAACAUUUAGGGGAAGAGCAGACACUGCUAGAUUGGCGAUCUCUGCGGUCCCAGCAAGACGAAGAGUCUGAAGAGUCUUUGUUAGCAGACCAAGAAAAAGAAAGGAGAAAACAGUGUUACAAGGCCUGGGAGGAAAGACGCAUAAAGCAAUUAAAGAACGCCUUCAACGACUGGCGGUAUAUAAAGAACCGUCAAGUGGACUGCUGUUGAAGUUCAAAUAUCCAAAUGGAUUUAUCAGAAAGAGAACUUUCAAUGUGUCUGACCCAAUUCUGGUCUUGUUUGACUUUGUCGGACAAGAUGAAAUGGCAAGUGAAAUAUUCAGUGUUCAACAAGCAACAUCAUCCAAACCAAUUGAGAGUACCUCAUCAGGCUCACUUAUGGAUCCUGGCAUAACAACAUCUGCAACUCUGUCCGUGCUUUGGAUUUCAACUCUAGAUAUUCAGGAAAGGUGUCCAGUUCAGGCAAAUGUAGUGCUGGAGCAGUCACUGUCUUCUGUCCGAAGUCUACAGACAUCGCUUUCUGACCAAGCACUGACAUCUUUGUCAGCCCAGUCACCACUGGCCCCAACAUUUCCUCAAGUCCUGUCGACCAUGUUCAACUCCCCAGAAACAUCAACUUCGUUCUCCUCCCGGGCAACUGUGUCCCAGCUCUAUACUCAAGUACAACCAAUUUUGCCGUCUUCUGAAGUUUCUUUGGUUGCAACCUCAAGGCUGCCCCUCUCCUCCCACUCUAACCUGACUCCACAGGUGAUGACCAUUGAGGACCAGGCACCAGCUCUCCAUUUACUGAGCAACCUAUAAAUCUACUGGAAAACCAAACAGAGCCACCAGAGUCUCUACAACAGGGGUCUCA